GUUGGGGUGGAUGGAGUCACAGGAUCCCCACUUUAGUACAUCACUAAGUCAUUAAUUAUUUUCCUAUAACUGCAUGCUUCUCAAGUGUUUUGGUAAUCAUUUCAUAUCAUAUUAGGAUUGCUGAUUAAGUUCGUUCUAUUGUACAGAUUUGUCUCAAGUGAUCAUUGUGACAAGAGUGGAUGAGGCCUGGCCACUGGUUAAAAAUGACAUAACUAAAGUCUACACCAGCAUGAAGGUCAAAGAACGGGAAAUCAUGCCCUCUCACGAAAGAGCGUUUUCAGUUUAUAAGUGUGUGUGUAUAGGUGUUUAUGUAAAACAGAAAGGGGGCUGGAGCUCAACAACUGAGGGUAUAAAUGUUAGAAUUGGGAGUCUUCUGGAACAGUCGACCGAGAAUGAACCUAUGCAACAGUGUAGUAAUCUGCUACGUGUCUCAUCUUCCCAGUGAAGAACUAUAACAAUGAGUUGAACACAAAUAUUAGCAUGGAUUUUCUGAUCCUCAAAGCAUUUGAACAGAUUGUGAAUCUUGCUAAUGAUGCCCUGAUCCACCGAAACCCUUCACAAACAUGAGUGAAGGCUAUUUUCUUCCCUAUACUAAUGCUGUUUUAAUAUAUUCAAAUUUAAGUAUAGUAAAAAGACCAUAGCAUAUGGAUAAUAAGAUUAAAAUAAAGCACAUUUCUUCUACUUUGA